GGUUGCCUCCCACGGCGCCCGACCUCCCAACCCUGUGUCUACACUACCUUGUCGUUGCUUCGGCGGACCGGUUCCCGACCAACUGGUUCGCACGACCGCCGGGGUCGGCUCAGCCGUCCUGGAGAGUGUCCGCCGAUGGCCACUUACACAAAACUCUUUGAACAAAAACCUGUCGUCUGAAUUUAUUUUAUUGAUUACACAAUCAAACCAAAACUUUCAACAACGGAUCUCUUGGUUCUGGCAUCGAUGAAGAACGCAGCGAAAUGCGAUAAGUAAUGCGAAUUGCAGAAUUUCCGUGAGUCAUCGAAUCUUUGAACGCACAUUGCGCCCAUUGGCAUUCCGAUGGGCAUGCCUGUUCGAGCGUCAUUAUCCUCCCUCAAAACCUCGUGUUUUGGUGUUGGGCCACGUCGUUGAGACACACGACGGGCCUCAAAGACAAUGACGGCGUCCGUGGGACCCUCGGUGCAACGAGCUUCUUCGUAAGCACGCGUCGAGUUAAGGACCCUCGGGCCCGGUCGCCUCUAGUAUUUUUCUAAGGUUGACCUCGGAUCAGGUAGGAAUACCCGCUGAACUUAAGCAUAUCAAUAAGCGGAGGAAAAGAAACCAACAGGGAUUGCCUCAGUAACGGCGAGUGAAGCGGCAACAGCUCAAAUUUGAAAUCUGGCCUUACGGUCCGAGUUGUAAUUUGUAGAGGAUGUUUUGGGUACCGCCGUGGUUUAAUUUUCUUGGAACAGGAAGCCAAAGAGGGUGAGAGUCCCGUCUUGGACCGCGGUAGGGCUCGUGUAAAACUCCUUCGACGAGUCGAGUUGUUUGGGAAUGCAGCUCAAAAUGGGUGGUAAAUUUCAUCUAAAGCUAAAUAUUGGCCAGAGACCGAUAGCGCACAAGUAGAGUGAUCGAAAGAUGAAAAGCACUUUGAAAAGAGAGUUAAACAGUAUGUGAAAUUGUUGAAAGGGAAGCGCAGGCAACCAGACUCGCGCGCGGGGUUCCCCCUGGCUUCUGCCUGGGUUACUUCCCCGCGUCCGGGCCAUCAUCAGUUUGGGGGGUCGGUCAAAGGCCCCGGGAAUGUAUCCUCACCUUCGGGAGUGGACUUAUAGCCCGGGGUGUCAUGCGGCCUCCCCGGAC
rnacentral:rRNA from 1 species